CAAUAGCGUAUAUUAAAGUUGUUGCAGUUAAAAAGCUCGUAGUUGGAUUUCGGGGUGGCCUGGCUGGUCCGCCGCAAGGUGAGUACUGGCCAGCCGCCCUUCCUCUCGAAAGCCCCGACUGCUCUUUACUGCAGUGGUCGGGUAGUUCGGGACGUUUACUUUGAAAAAAUUAGAGUGUUCAAGGCAGGCUAUCGCCUGAAUACAUUAGCAUGGAAUAAUGGAAGAGGACCUCGGUCCUAUUUUGUUGGUUUCUAGGGCCGAAGUAAUGAUUAAGAGGGACAGUUGGGGGCAUUCGUAUUUAAUUGUCAGAGGUGAAAUUCUUGGAUUUAUGAAAGACGAACUAGUGCGAAAGCAUUUGCCAAGGAUGUUUUCAUUAA
rnacentral:rRNA from 1 species